rnacentral:tRNA from 1 species
CUGGUGGUACAGUGGUUAAGCGCUUGGCUGGUAACCAAAAGGUCGGUGGUUCGAAUUCACCCCACCAGC